rfam:Felis catus isolate Cinnamon breed Abyssinian chromosome A1, whole genome shotgun sequence.
ACCUGGGUGGCUCAGUCGGUUGAGCGUCCGACUCCGGCUCGGAUCAUGAUCUCACGGUUCGUGGAUUCGAGCCCCGCAUCAGGCU